rnacentral:rRNA from 1 species
UAGUCCACACCGUAAACGCUGUCUACUAGCUGUUUGUGAGUUUAACUCGUGAGUAGCGAAGCUAACGCGCUAAGUAGACCGCCUGGGGAGUACGGUCGCAAGAUUAAAACUCAAAUGAAUUGACGGGGGCCCGCACAAGCGGUGGAGCAUGUGGUUUAAUUCGAUGCAACGCGAAGAACCUUACCUACACUUGACAUUCAGCGAGCUUACCAGAGAUGGUUUGGUGCCUUCGGGAACGCUGGGACAGGUGCUGCAUGGCUGUCGUCAGCUCGUGUCGUGAGAUGUUGGGUUAAGUCCCGCAACGAGCGCAACCCUCACUUUUAGUUGCCAUCAUUAAGUUGGGCACUCUGAAAGAACUGCCAGUGAUAAGCUGGAGGAAGGUGGGGGAUGACGUCAAGUCCUCAUGGCCCUUACGUGUUGGGGCUACACACGUGCUACAAUGGGUAUCUACAACAGGGAAGCAAGACU